AGAGCGAACGCUGGCGGCAGGCCUAACACAUGCAAGUCGAGCGCCCGUAGCAAUACGGGAGCGGCAGACGGGAGAGUAACACGUGGGAACGCGCCCUUCGGUUCGGAAUAACUCAGGGAAACUUGAGCUAAUACCGGAUACGCCCUUACGGGGAAAGAUUUAUUGCCGAAGGAACGGCCCGCGUCCGAUUAGCUUGUUGGUGAGGUAAUGGCUCACCAAGGCGACGAUCGGUAGCUGGUCUGAGAGGAUGACCAGCCUCACUGGGACUGAGACACGGCCCAGACUCCUACGGGAGGCAGCAGUGGGGAAUAUUGGACAAUGGGCGCAAGCCUGAUCCAGCCAUGCCGCGUGGAUGAUGAAGGCCCUAGGGUUGUAAAGUCCUUUAACGGGAAGAUAAUGACGGUACCGUAGAAUAAGCCCGGCUAACUUCGUGCCAGCAGCCGC
rnacentral:rRNA from 1 species